GAUGAAGAACGCAGCGAAAUGCGAUACGUAAUGUGAAUUGCAGAAUUCAGUGAAUCAUCGAAUCUUUGAACGCACAUUGCGCCCCCUGGUAUUCCGGGGGGCAUGCCUGUUUGAGCGUCAUUUCACCACUCAAGCCUCGCUUGGUAUUGGGCAACGCGGUCCGCCGCGUGCCUCAAAUCGACCGGCUGGGUCUUCUGUCCCCUAAGCGUUGUGGAAACUAUUCGCUAAAGGGUGUUCGGGAGGCUACGCCGUAAAACAACCCCAUUUCUAAGGUUGACCUCGGAUCAGGUAGGGAUACCCGCUGAACUUAAGCAUAUCAAUAAGCGGAGGA
rnacentral:misc_RNA from 1 species